AGUGAGAAUGUUGGCAUGAGUAGCGAGAUGUGGGUGAGAAUCCCACAGGCCGUAAACCCAAGGUUUCCAGGGGAAGGUUCGUCCGCCCUGGGUUAGUCAGGACCUAAGCCGAGGCCGAAAGGCGUAGGUGAUGGACAACAGGUUGAUAUUCCUGUACCACCAAUAACCGUUUGAGAAAUGGGAUGACACAGAAGGAUAAGCUAACCGCACUGUUGGUUAUGUGCGGGCAAGUAUUGAGGCAGUUCUAAUAGGCAAAUCCGUUAGAAUAAUGCUGGGGUACGAUGCGGAGCGAAAUUUAGUAGCGAAGUAGCUGAUUUCACACUGUCGAGAAAAGUCUCUAUCGAGGUUAAAGGUGCCUGUACCGCAAACCGACACAGGUGGGUGAGGAGAGUAUCCUAAGGCCAGCCAGAGAACUGUUGUUAAGGAACUCGGCAAAAUGACCCCGUAACUUAGGGAGAAGGGGUGCCUUCGAAAGAAGGCCGCAGAGAAUAGGCCCAAGCGACUGUUUACCAAAAACAUAGGUUUCUGCUAAGUCGCAAGACGAUGUAUAGGAGCUGACGCCUGCCCGGUGCUGGAAGGUUAAGGGGAUCUGUUAGAGCAAUCGAAGCAGUGAACUUAAGCCCCAGUAAACGGCGGCCGUAACUAUAACGGUCCUAAGGUAGCGAAAUUCCUUGUCGGGUAAGUUCCGACCCGCACGAAAGGCGUAACGAUUUGGGCACUGUCUCAACAACAGACUGGGUGAAAUUGUAAUACCGGUGAAGAUGCCGGUUACCUGCGACAGGACGGAAAGACCCCAUGGAGCUUUACUGUAGCUUGACAUUGAGUCUCGGUGCUACAUGUACAGGAUAGGUGGGAGGCUAUGAAGCAUGGACGUCAGUUUGUGUGGAGCCAUCCUUGGGAUACCACCCUUGUAGUACUGGGAUUCUAACCAGCUGCCUUGAAUCAGGUAGUGGGACACUGUCAGGUGGACAGUUUGACUGGGGCGGUCGCCUCCUAAAGAGUAACGGAGGCGCUCAAAGGUUCUCUCAGUACGGUCGGAAAUCGUACGUAGAGUGUAAAGGCAGAAGAGAGCUUGAUUGCAAGACAUACAGGUCGAGCAAGGACGAAAGUCGGACUUAGUGAUCCGGUGGUUCCGCAUGGAAGGGCCAUCGCUCAACGGAUAAAAGCUACCCUGGGGAUAACAGGCUGAUCUCCCCCAAGAGUCCACAUCGACGGGGAGGUUUGGCACCUCGAUGUCGGCUCAUCACAUCCUGGGGCUGUAGUAGGUCCCAAGGGUUGGGCUGUUCGCCCAUUAAAGUGGUACGCGAGCUGGGUUCAGAACGUCGUGAGACAGUUCGGUCCCUAUCCGUCGCAGGCGUAGGAAAUUUGAGGAGACCUGUCCUUAGUACGAGAGGACCGGGAUGGACGUACCGCUGGUGUACCAGUUGUUCUGCCAAGGGCAUAGCUGGGUAGCUAAGUACGGAAAGGAUAAGCGCUGAAAGCAUCUAAGCGCGAAGCCCACUUCAAGAUAAGAUUUCCCACCGCAAGGUUAAGAUCCCAGGAAGACUACCUGGUUGAUAGGUCAGAGGUGUAAGUGUAGUAAUAUAUUUAGCUUACUGAUACUAAUAGAUCGAGGACUUGACC
rnacentral:rRNA from 1 species